UACGUAGGGGGCAAGCGUUGUCCGGAUUUAUUGGGCGUAAAGAGCGUGUAGGCGGCCAUACAGGUCAGCUGUGAAAACUCGAGGCUCAACCUCGAGACGUCGGUUGAAACCGUAUGGCUAGAGUCCGGAAGAGGAGAGUGGAAUUCCCGGUGUAGCGGUGAAAUGCGCAGAUAUCAGGAGGAACACCAAUAGCGAAGGCAGCUCGCUGGGACGUUACUGACACUAAGGCGCGAAAGCGUGGGGAGCGAACAGG
rnacentral:rRNA from 1 species